AAAUUGAAGAGUUUGAUCAUGGCUCAGAUUGAACGCUGGCGGCAGGCUUAACACAUGCAAGUCGAACGGUAGCAGGAAGGAAGCUUGCUUUCUUUGCUGACGAGUGGCGGACGGGUGAGUAAUGCUUGGGAAUCUGGCUUAUGGAGGGGGAUAACGACGGGAAACUGUCGCUAAUACCGCGUAAUGUCUAAGGACUAGAGGGUGGGACUUUC
rnacentral:rRNA from 1 species